AGAGUUUGAUCAUGGCCCAGAACGAACGCUGGCGGCAUGCCUGACACAUGCAAGUUGAGCGAUAACCAAGAAGCUUGCUUUUUGGGGACAGCAGCGCACGGGUGAGUAACGCGUGGAUAACGUGCCCUAGGGUUGGGAAUAACUCACCGAAAGGUGAGCUAAUACCAAAUGUGUUCUUUUGGAGUGCGCUUUGAAAGAAGAAAGCGGGGCAACCCGCGCCCAAGGAUCGGUCCGCGUUCCAUCAGCUUGUUGGUGAGGUAAAGGCUCACCAAGGCUACGACGGAUAGCUGGUCUGAGAGGAUGAUCAGCAACACUGGGACUGAGACACGGCCCAGACUCCUACGGGAGGCAGCAGUGGGGAAUCUUAGACAAUGGGGGCAACCCUGAUCUAGCGAUGCCGCGUGAGUGAUGAAGGUCUUAGGAUCGUAAAGCUCUUUCGCCAGAGAUGAUAAUGACAGUAUCUGGUAAAGAAACCCCGGCUAACUCCGUGCCAGCAGCCGCGGUAAUACGGAGGGGGUUAGCGUUGUUCGGAAUUACUGGGCGUAAAGCGCACGUAGGCGGACUGGAAAGUUGGGGGUGAAAUCCCGGGGCUCAACCCCGGAACUGCCUCCAAAACUUCCAAUCUAGAGAUCGAGAGAGGUGAGUGGAAUUCCAAGUGUAGAGGCGAAAUUCGUAGAUAUUUGGAGGAACACCAGUGGCGAAGGNGGCUCACUGGCUCGAUACUGACGCUGAGGUGCGAAAGCGUGGGGAGNAAACAGGAUUAGAUACCCUGGNAGUCCACGCCGUAAACGAUGAGAGCUAGACGUCAGG
rnacentral:rRNA from 1 species